rnacentral:rRNA from 2 species
GCGGUAAUUCCAGCUCCAAUAGCGUAUGCUAAAGCUGCUGCGGUUAAAAAGCUCGUAGUUGGAUCUCAGUUCCAGGCGGGUGGUGCAUCUAACCGAUGCCACAGCCCGGGCUGAACAUCAUGCCUCCCGUCCUCUGGUGUCCUUCACUGGAUGCCUCUGGGUGGUCGGUGCAUUUACUUUGAAAAAAUUGGAGUGCUCAACGCAGGCGCAUUGCCUGAAUACUCAUGCAUGGAAUAAUAGAACAAGACCCCGUUUCUGUUCUGUUGGUUUUUGGAAAACGAGGUAAUGAUUAAGAGGGACAGACGGGGGCAUUCGUAUUGCGGCGCUAGAGGUGAAAUUCUUGGACCGUCGCAAGACGAACUACUGCGAAAGCAUUUGCCAAGAAUGUUUUCAUUGAUCAAGAACGAAAGUUAGAGGUUCGAAGGCGAUCAGAUACCGCCCUAGUUCUAACCAUAAACGAUGCCAACCAGCAAUCCGCCUGAGUUACUCAAAUGACUCGGCGGGCAGCUUCCGGGAAACCAAAGUAUUUGGGUUCCGGGGGAAGUAUGGUUGCAAAGCUGAAA